CCUACGGGAGGCAGCAGUAGGGAAUAUUGGGCAAUGGAGGCAACUCUGACCCAGCCAUGCCGCGUGCAGGAAGACGGUCCUCUGGAUUGUAAACUGCUUUUGAAUGGGAAGAAUGUGCUCCUUGCGAGGGGUAAUGACGGUACCAUUAGAAUAAGCCACGGCUAACUACGUGCCAGCAGCCGCGGUAAUACGUAGGUGGCGAGCGUUAUCCGGAUUUAUUGGGUUUAAAGGGUGCGUAGGCGGCUUAAUAAGUCGGUGGUUAAAAGUAGCAGCUUAACUGUUUUACAUGCCAUCGAUACUGUUGAGCUUGAGAUAUUUGGAGGCAGCUAGAAUUUCCGGUGUAGCGGUGAAAUGCAUAGAUACCGGAAGGAAUACCAAUUGCGAAGGCAGGUUGCUACGAAUAAACUGACGCUGAUGCACGAAAGCGUGGGGAUCAAACAGGAUUAGAUACCCUGGUAGUCCACGCCGUAAACGAUGAUUACUAGUUGUUGGGGUUUAAGCCUCAGUGACCAAGGGAAACCGAUAAGUAAUCCACCUGGGGAGUACGCCGGCAACGGUGAAACUCAAANAGAGUAGAGCGNGAGAGNGCGACGACGACGACGAGGGAGAGG
rnacentral:rRNA from 1 species